rnacentral:lncRNA from 1 species
GCACCCUGCAGGGCCGGGGGAGUGGGGAUGAGGGGCGCAGUGAGGAACGAAUGGGGAGCCGCCCGGGCCGAGGCCAGGUGCCCUUCCGGUCAGUCCUCCAGGAGCUGGUUGACUUCUCAGCAUCCUGAUUCUUUGGAAAGACAGUUUAAAAAGUUGUUUAGUUUCCUAGGACAUUCUCGCUGCGACUGUUGAAAGUCGGACAGCACCCGCCUUGUGCUCACCCCGCCGGGAUACACGGGGACGGUUCCUUUCCAAGGAGGCCCGGGGCCGCCUCUGCGCCGGGACAGCCUGGGAAGCCGCGCAGGCCUGGCCGACUUCCCCUUCCCAGCCCCGCUGCGCCCUGCGGGGCCCUGUCGGCGGUGGGGGCUGCGGACCCGGGAGCGCGCGGCCGCGCUGCACGUGCAGGGACCGGUAGGCGCCGGGGUCAGCGCCAGCGUUUGAUGUGCGGCGGGGAGCGGGCCGAGCCCCGGGAGGCCGCUUCGCACCUCCCAGUGUGUCCGGGUUGAGCGCGAGGUCAGGAGGGGACGCAGAGUUCACGGCGAAGACGGAUCGCGGGGGCUCGUCCCGCCCGGGUUGCGCGCAGCGGGGGCCGCGUGAUGGAUGGGCCGGGCCGGGCACCCGGGAACCCGCGAGCGCGGGGCUGGGCUCUGGGCUGCGUCCGGGGGCCCCGACUUGGUUAUUGAUCGGCCCAAGCGCAGGAGAACUGACUCUAUAAUGCAUCGCCUGACCAGGAAAAGUGUUUGCUUUUGUGGGAGCAAAAGACAACUUUCUGCCCCGCCAGAGCGUUGCUAAGUGAGCGGUAAUGACCACGCUAGAAAUUUCAUAGGGAGAGGCUAAUGGCAGGCUGACUCUAAAAGUGCUUUUAAGUGCAACUUCUGUCUAAUCCCUUGAGGGGGAAGAAAACAUCGGCGACUAAGAAAGUUCAAGUUGUACAGGACCCGGGUUUUUGGGGUCGGGGUCACUUCUGCUCUGCGUGACUUUGAAGAGGAAGACCUGCGGUUUUUUCCAGUGGAUUUUCACACGUGUUUUAAAGAGAACUCCCGGCUCCUGAAAUGAAAGGCCCGCCUGUAGGGUUUUGCUGCCUCCCCUCUGCCCACGCCCCACCCCCACAGCCUGGAUCAAAGCGAUCAGACAAAUUAUUCAGAAGUAACACAGCCCUGAAAUGUUCCUAAACGUGACUAUUUGAGGCGAUGAAUCAAGCGUGUUCCCUCCGCCCCCAACCCACCCCCAGACCGAAAAUGUGACUCUGGAAACGGACUUGCAGAGCUGGCUUCGGUUUAUAUGCGGUUCUGACCCCUGUUGACUUUAGGACAAGCCUUCCUGUUUCCAGUACUGCAGCAUCGCCAGACAGCCUCGCCAUGCAAUCGGCUUUCCAGAUACGAUUUCACUCCUCACCAAAGACACUUCUUUAGGGCGAUUUUAGGAUUCUAUCAACGCUAGUAAAGGAACUACUUAAACACGUUGAUUUGUAUCGCCUUCCCUGACUAUGAAACAUUGAAGUGGAAUACUACUCAUCAAUAAAAAAAAUAUAAACUCCUGAUACACCUCAUGGAUGGAUGCAUAGAUGGAUGGAUGGAUCUGAAAAACAUCGUGCUGAAUAAAAGAAGCCAGACAUGAAAGAGCUGCCACUACCAGGAGCACGCUGGCCUGCCGGCGGGAGGAACAGAUGCCAGAGGAGACCUGACUGUGUCCUCAAGGCCAUGCCCCAUCAGCCAUCCCAGCAGAGCCCACAGCCACCCACAGAGGAAUGAGGAUCCCCAUCCAGGAUCACCGGAACUGCACAACUGACUCACAAACGUGUGAAGAGUAAUGGGUAACGUGUUGAACUGUGAGCCUUUGAGCCUGGGGAGGUUUGUGAUGCAGCAGUAGCUCCCAGACCCUUGAGGCUCUUCGGCACGAAGGUGCUGAGCCAUGCACCUAUGCAAAGCCAAACUCUGCACUAGGCCUACUGGGGUGUGCAGAGAGAGAGGGCUGAACAAACUGCGGUUCCACCCAGAAGACCCAGAAGAACAUUUACGGAGGAGUCAGUGCAAGAGGCGAGAGAGCAUGCGUGAAGAGGCUCGUUCUUGUGGUGUAGAAAAGGAGGCCAGAGUCUCCCAGACCACGAUUCUUUUCCUUUAGGUGUUUCUUGGGCAUUUUCAAUCUUAAAUCUCUUCCCAUGUUAUUGAGAUUUCUGAUUGAAUGUCCCCAUUUUCCCUCAGACAGCAGGCCGUGUGUGAGUCACCACCUCCAUCUUUCUAUGUCCUGGGUGUGGGCCCAGUGAAGGACAGUUAUGGAAAUUUAGAGAGAAGAGGUCGCAGGUGUGGUGGGGGUGGUGAAGCUUCAGAAGAGAAAAGAAGCAUGGUGGAGAGGGUGGACUCUGGAGGCUACUGCAGAGCUCUCCCCCAGGCUAUGAGGGGGCAUGAUGGUCCCAAUAGCCUGAGUCUGUGUUCAUUUCAACUGGCUACCUUGUGACGAGGAAGAUGGCCCAGGUUCCCAGUGGGAAAUCUAUGGUUAUCAUUAAGAACGCAGGGCCUGAGAUGAAACCUGGCAGGUGAAAGGCACCUGGUUUUAUGCAACCUGGUUUUGCAGAAGCCUGUGGGAGGGGGCCCAGGGGGGAAGGGAGCAGAGGGCAGUGUUGGCUCUGGUUCCCCCACCAGGCAGGUGGGCUAGCACCUGGGUAAGGGGCUUUGCAUCUGGAGCUGGUCAUGCCUCAGUCCAGAUCCUGCCUUUAUCAGUUGAUGGGCUGUUACCUGCCAGUGGUUAUGGUGAGGACUAAAUUACGGAAAGUCAUCAAGGAUCUUCAUUCAUUGCCCACCACAGAGCAGGCACUCAAUGGAGAACACUCACCACCAUCUAUGUUGUUAAUGUUGCAUCUGCAGCCCUUGGUUUCCUGGAAAGACUCUACAGUACAGGGGCAGGUUAGGGGCCACAACCAGGAAACAAGACACAUCUGAGAGAAUGCAUGGGAGCUUAUGGAAGGAUGUACAAGGCUGGGUGUGGGAAUCCCGGCACUUCGGGAGGCUAAGGUGGAAGGAUCACUUGCAUCCAGGAUUCAAGCCUAGCCUGGCCACGUAGUGAGACCCCAGCUCUACAAAAAAUCAAAAAUCAACUGGGCAUGGUGGCAUGUGCCUCUAAUCCAAGCUACUCAGGAAGCAGAGAUGGGAGGAUCGCUUGAGCCCAGGAGGUUGAGGCUGCAGUGAGCUGAGAUCAUACCACUGCACUCAUUCUGGGCAACAGAGUGAAACCCUGUCUCAAAAAUAUAAAUAAAUAAAUAAAUAAAUAAAUAAAUAAAGAAAGAAAGAAAGAAAGAAAGAAUUUACAAGAGGGGAGUUUUAGUGGUUGAAAAAUCAUUCACUCAUUCCAGGAGCAAGAGCCUUGUGGGUUUUCUUCCUGUUCUUGCCUGGGUUAUCUCUACUGAACCAAAGAAUCCUUGUUAGGAAUGCUCUGGUGGUGUCAAUCAAUGCGUUUAUAAAUCAUUUGCUUUUACCAUGGAAAAAGAUAUCACAAAACAACACAGCUGUAGUGCAGGUGCAGAUGACCAUGGAACGGCAGCCUGGCGUUUUCAGUAGAGCACUGGGCAGCAGAGUCCCUGGGCCUCGGAACCCCGGCCUGUUACCACCCAACACCAUCCCUGGGCAAAAUGCGAAACUCCCAUCAGAUCCAUGAAUGGAAAAUGGGCGUAAUUAUAAUUGCACCCCACUCUCUACCUCUCAGCUAAGGUGAGAAAUGAAUAUGAGGAUGCUCAGUGAAAAUGCUUUGAAGUCUGUGAAAUGCGAAGCAAAUGUGAAGCGAGAGGAAUAAUAAGGUUCUAAGGACCCACACUUGGGCGUUUGCUCUGAGCUGGCCCCUGUCCUCCACACUGAACCUACAGCCUCUCCUCUCACCUAAUCUGCACAAAAAUCUUACGAAGCAGACACACUUACCAUGCUGGCCUUUCCGUGAAAUUUCAGGUCUUAGUGUCGCCCAUUACUGGUGGCAUUUCAUGCCACAAGUUGGGCCAUCUGCACCUCCAAGCACAGGGUCACAGAAGACUUUAUCCCGUCCCUUGGGCUGACUGAAUGGUUGGUUUGUGUCAACCCCUGUUGUCCCUUUGAGCAACUCGGGGGCAAUGGUUAUGGGUAGGGCUUAAAAAACCGUCUGGCUGCAAACCCAGUGCUGAUACGAACAAGGCCUAGUCAGGCACUAAGUGUUUUGUGUUCCCCAAAGAGAUCUUAAUGAAAUCCCAGCAUGCCACUCACUCCUACACUUAAAAUACCUUUUAAGUGUAGGAAAGAAAGUGCUUUCAACCCCACCCCAGCCAUUUGGAUUCGGAGACUCCAUUUAAGAUGCACAGCUUUCCUCCAGCACAGGGGCUGGGUAUCCAAACGCAGAGCCUCCCCCAGACUCUCUCUAGGCUUAGCCUGGCUUGGUGGGCUCAGGAGGGAUUCAAGAUUAUUUCAUCCUUUAUGUCCAUUCGAUGACAGUUUAUCAUCAUUGCCACCUCAUACUCUAUUGUAGCCAAACAUCAUAACCAGCACCAUGUGAACUACGUCACUGACGCCACAUUCUUUUUCUCGGCUGUCACUAGGCUCAGGUCAGGACAGCCCUCCCGGCUGACUUCCGCGAUACUUUCUGUAUCUCCUUUUCAGUCUGCCCUAAAAUGACAGCUGGACUUCCGACAGUGGUUUCUUAUGUGGGACACAUGGCUCUUAUACUCUGGGUGGCACGGAUUCCUUUAUUGCCAGUGGCUUAAUUUUCCCAGAUCUAUUUCCAUGCAGACAGUGUGAGGUUGGACUUCAUGCCUCAUGCUCCUGAUUGGGGCUCGGAAGUCUAACCCAGCUUCCUGCAGUGCCGCCCCCAGCUUAUUCAAUGCCCAACCUGCAGGUCCUAAGUUGAACCCGCACACUGCACGCUCACCUGGUCUGUGCUGCCAGCUGCAUUGGAAAUGGAAGCAUUAAACACCGUUCUCCACUGUCAGCCACCUGCUAGCUAAUGAGUGACAUCAUUUAACACUGUUUUGAAAAGAGAGAUUUAAAGUUGUUUUGAAAACUGAAGGAAAAAUACAAAUGUUUGAGUGUUAAACAUUUUGCCCAAAUACUAAAAUGUGAAUGUCUUUUUAUUGUGACAGUUCACAGGAAAGCGGGCUAUAGCAUGCCUGUGCUUGUCAAUGAAAAUCUUAGCACUGAGUUUGGUAAACAUUCUGGCAGUCGGGAAGCCACUUAAAAAUAAAGUUUAAAGAAAAGAAAGAGAAGUGUUCACUUUCCUUCUAAUUUUCCCAGAUACGCUCAAUAUUCUGCUUUAUUUUUUAGUAUUUUAACUAAAAUAAGAAAACUCGGAUUCUACCUCUAUGUGUCCUAUGAUUGUUGUUGUUUUCUCUGAUUAUAAAAUACAGGUUUGCAGCAGAAAACUUGGCAAAACAGAGAUAUGAAGAAUAAAAUAAAAAUCACCUGUAGUUCUAAGCCAUGAGAAUAAUCAUAUAUAUAUUCCCUAGGUAUUCUGAAGCAUAUGUAUUACAGUCCAAAUAUUUAAAAACAAAAUUUGGGUAAUACUUUAGAUAGAGAGUUGUAUUCUGAUUUUUUCUAUUAAUAUUAUAACUUUGAAACGAGGGACUUCACCAUUGCUUUUAUUUUUCUUUGCUAUGUAAGUACUUAUGUUCUUUAUGAGGAAAAUAAAAACUAUAGAAAAGAAAGAUAAGAAAAUAAAAUCAGUAAUAAUCCCCUCACUUACAAAUGACUGCUGUUAACAUUUUAGUUUUUUGGUUUCUAUCUAUUUAUGUGAAAUUUGAAUGAAAAUAGUAUAAUUUCGCUGUCUCUAUAUUGCUUGGUAACAUAAUGAUUUAACUGUAUAAUAAAUAGUAUAUUACAUGAAUAUUUUGAGUAAUAGUCUGUGUGAUAAUUUUUAUUCGGUGUGUGGUGUUCCACUACAUAAAUGUAUUAUAGUUUAUUUCACAAAUAAACUCUUAUCAGAAACUUAUGUUGUCGUUAAUCUGUGAUUUAUAAUGAAGCUAUAAACAUAACUUUUAGCUAAAUAUUUAUGGAUACCCUUCAUUAUUUAUUUCCUAAAUAGUAGAAGUAGAAUUUUAUGGUCAAAUGAUAAAGACAUGAUUUUCUUACAUUCAGGAGAUAUUCUAUUAUAUGGCUCUACCAUAAUUUAUUUAUUUAUU